AGCGAACGUUAGCGGCGCGCCUAACACAUGCAAGUCGCACGAGAAAGGGAUUCGUCCCCGGUACAGUGGCGCACGGGUGAGUAACACGUGGGUAACCUUCCCAGACGUGGUGGAUAACCUGCCGAAAGGCGGGCUAAUACAGCAUAAGACCACGAGGCUACGGCCUUGAGGUUAAAGCAGGCUUCUGUUUACAAGCUUGCGCGUUUGGAUGGGUCCGCGUCCCAUCAGCUAGUUGGUGAGGUAACGGCUCACCAAGGCUACGACGGGUAGCUGGUCUGAGAGGAUGGCCA
rnacentral:rRNA from 1 species